GACGUAGGGCGCGAGCGUUGUCCGGAUUUAUUGGGCGUAAAGAGCUCGUAGGCGGCUUGUCGCGUCGUCCGUGAAAACCUGCAGCUCAACUGCAGGCUUGCGGUCGAUACGGGCAGGCUAGAGUUCGGUAGGGGAGACUGGAAUUCCUGGUGUAGCGGUGAAAUGCGCAGAUAUCAGGAAGAACACCAAUGGCGAAAGCAGCUUUCUGGGACGGUACUGACGCUGAGACGCGAAAGCGUGGGGAGCGAACAGG
rnacentral:rRNA from 1 species